rnacentral:rRNA from 1 species
AGCGAACGCUGGCGGCAGGCCUAACACAUGCAAGUCGAGCGCCCAGCAAUGGGAGCGGCAGACGGGAUAGUAACACGUGGGAACGUACCUUUCAGUUCGGAACAACCAAGGGAAACUUUGGCUAAUACCGAAUACGCCCGUAAGGGGAAAGAUUUAUCGCUGAAAGAUCGGCCCGCGUCUGAUUAGCUAGUUGGUGAGGUAAUGGCUCACCAAGGCGACGAUCAGUAGCUGGUCUGAGAGGAUGAUCAGCAUCACUGGGACUGAGACACGGCCCAGACUCCUACGGGAGGCAGCAGUGGGGAAUAUUGGACAAUGGGCGCAAGCCUGAUCCAGCCAUGCCGCGUGAGUGAUGAAGGCCUUAGGGUUGUAAAGCUCUUUCGUCAGGGAAGAUAAUGACGGUACCUGAAGAAGAAGCCCCGGCUAACUUCGUGCCAGCAGCCGCCGCCGUAA